ensembl:lncRNA
GAUAUUGACGACUCUCUUAAUUAUGAUAGUGUGAAGUCAGCUAUUUUGAGGAAGUACGACAUUAAUUCAGAAACUUAUCGAUAAAGAUUUCAUUUCCGAGAAGUUGAAUCAUCUGAGAGUCCUAAAGAGCUGUAUGCCAGGUUGAAGGAGCUGUAUGGGAAGUGGAUUCGACCAAAAGGGAAAACAGUGGAGGAAAUUGGAGAAAUAAUUAUUCUUGAGCAGUAUCUCAGAAUGCUCUCUCCUGAGCUCCAGGUAUGGAUCCGUGAGCGGGGCCCUGAAACUGCUGCCGAAGCUGCAUCAUUAGCGGACGUGUUUGUUGCUGCCCGGGGAAGGAACCAGCCAUGGAGUUGGCGGGGUGGCAGAGACUCUCGCAAAUCCCAGGUCUAUCCUCCGUCCCAGUACCACUCCUUUGGUAAGCCUCCCUUAGGAGGAAAGUUUGACUCUGUAACAUCAGUUAAGUCGCCUAAGAAAGUGCCUAUUUGUUACUUGUGUGGACAGGAGGGUCAUACCAAACCUGUUUGUCCGAAGAAUGUUGGCAAGCUCUCACAAGUGUGUUAUGUGCCUAGAGCUAAGGCAGAUCCUAUAAAGCCUGGACUGUCCUUAAACAUGACCACUGUGGAAGUAAAUGGUAAAGAACUCCCUGCGCUAAUUGAUACGGGCAGCGACCAGACUUUGGUGCGUAGACAAUUUGUGUCACCUGUCUUGAUUAAUCCUUGUGACAAGAAGUCAAUUUGCUGUGUUCACGGGGAUGAAAAGCUGCUUCCUACGGCUGAUGUGUACAUCAAGGUGAAAGGACAAACUUAUCUUCUGGAUGUGGGCGUGGCGGACGAGCUACCAUUUCCAGUGGUCUUGGGUCAUGAUCUGCCGGUACUCUGGGACUUGUUGCAGCCAGUUCCCUCAUGCAAUAUGGUCAUCACACGAGCUAAAGCAAGCACAGGGGAAGAAGGGAAACAGAUGCUUAGAGCCCUACCUUUCUUUGACAAUGAGGUAGAAACUGUGGGAUCUGCAAAGCCCAGGAAAACUCGUCAACAGAGAAGGUUGGAAAAAAUUAAAUAUAAUGCUGCUAACAUGCUAGGUGACUCUCUUUCAGAUUUUUCCCCAGACUUUAAGCUGCCUACUAA